rnacentral:tRNA from 1 species
GCGGACGUGGUGGAACAGGUAGACACACAGGACUUAAAAUCCUGAGGCAGCAAUGCCGUGCGGGUUCGAGUCCCGCCGUCCGCACCA